GGCUGAGGCUGCGGGAGCUGGAGGAGGGAAGAAAAGGGAAUUCCAACCUGUGGAACCUUGGGGGGUCCCCGGGGUCGGCGCCUUCCCAUUGACUGUGGGCGGUGCAAGGGACGGAGCCUCUGGCGGCUCGUGGGGGUGUUGGGGUCCGCAGGGGGAGGGAGGGGAGUGUCAGAGUGUGAGUGGGGUACGGGAAUUCCAAAUUUGAGGGCCUCCCGGCUCUGGCGCCGGGGAGGGAGAGCUCAGGCCGCCAUGCGGGACAGGACCCACGAGCUGAGGCAGGGGGAUGACAGCUCGGACGAAGAGGACAAGGAGCGGGUCGCGCUGGUGUUGCACCCGGGCACGGCACGGCUGGGGAGCCCGGACGAGGAGUUCUUCCAGAAGCCCUCUCGGUCACCCUCCCCAGGUCCGGACAAUUCGGCAGACUAUUGUCAAGCUGGGGAAUAAAGUCCAGGAGUUGGAGAAACAGCAGGUCACCAUCCUGGCCACGCCCCUUCCCGAGGAGGGUGAGUGACACCCCGGCUGCAGGGCGCAUGCUCCGCCCCAGGGAUUGUGGGGGUUGUAGUUCCACGCAGGUGGUGGUCAGGGUGGUUUGUUGAGGUGGGGGCUGCUGUUUGGGAGUCGUGGCCUUCUCUUAUUCAGGCAUGAAGCAGGAGCUGCAGAACCUGCGCGAUGAGAUCAAACAGCUGGGGAGGGAGA
rnacentral:sRNA from 1 species